rnacentral:rRNA from 1 species
UACGAAGGGGGCUAGCGUUGUUCGGAAUUACUGGGCGUAAAGCGCACGUAGGCGGAUUGUUAAGUUAGGGGUGAAAUCCCGGGGCUCAACCCCGGAACUGCCUCUAAUACUGGCAAUCUCGAGUCCGAGAGAGGUGAGUGGAAUUCCGAGUGUAGAGGUGAAAUUCGUAGAUAUUCGGAGGAACACCAGUGGCGAAGGCGGCUCACUGGUCCGGUACUGACGCUGAGGUGCGAAAGCGUGGGGAGCAAACAGG